GAUGAACGCUGGCGGCGUGCCUAAUACAUGCAAGUCGAGCGAACAGACGAGGAGCUUGCUCCUUUGACGUUAGCGGCGGACGGGUGAGUAACACGUGGGUAACCUACCUAUAAGACUGGGAUAACUUCGGGAAACCGGAGCUAAUACCGGAUAAUAUUUCGAACCGCAUGGUUCGAUAGUGAAAGAUGGCUCUGCUAUCACUUAUAGAUGGACCUGCGCCGUAUUAGCUAGUUGGUAAGGUAACGGCUUACCAAGGCAACGAUACGUAGCCGACCUGAGAGGGUGAUCGGCCACACUGGAACUGAGACACGGUCCAGACUCCUACGGGAGGCAGCAGUAGGGAAUCUUCCGCAAUGGGCGAAAGCCUGACGGAGCAACGCCGCGUGAGUGAUGAAGGUCUUCGGAUCGUAAAACUCUGUUAUUAGGGAAGAACAAACGUGUAAGUAACUGCGCACGUCUUGACGGUACCUAAUCAGAAAGCCACGGCUAACUACGUG
rnacentral:rRNA from 1 species